UGAGAAUUUGUCAUCCAGCAUCUUAUGUUGAACAGACAUGUGCAACUACUAGUUCUAUAAGUGGCUAAAUUCCUUGAGUUUUGCUCUCAUCCAUCGUGGACCAUCCUUGAAAAUUUAUGCUUGCGGCUUUUACCACCAGAUGGUCCAUAAUCCCCCUCCUCCUUACUGUCUUUGACACCUCAUCAUCUUUCCCUUUUCUCUUGUUCUGUAAGUUUCCUUCUGCUAGUUCUGUAGUUUGAGAAUCGAAUAAACCUCAGCAUUCAA